AGGCAGGUAGGGGCCGACGGAACUAUGGGUGGAGCGGUGAAAUGCGUAGAUAUCCAUGGGAACGCCAAUGGCGAAGGCAGUCGGCUGGGCCUGUCCUGACGCUCAGGCACGAAAGCGUGGGGAGCGAACGGGAUUAGAUACCCCGGUAGUCCACGCCGUAAACGAUGCGCACUAGAUCGGAGUGUCUCUCACGGCUUUCCGGUCGAAGGAAAACUAUUAAGUGCGCCGCCUGGGGAGUACGGUCGCAAGGCUAAAACUCAAAGGAAUUGACGGGGGCUCACACAAGCGGUGGAGCAUGUUGCUUAAUUCGAGGCAACGCGAAGAACCUUACCUGGGCUUGACAUGCACGGAUUAACUCUGUGAAAGCAGAGCCACGCCCUCGGGUGGAACGUGCACAGGUGCUGCAUGGCUGUCGUCAGCUCGUGCUGUGAAGUGUCGGGUUAAGUCCUCUAACGAGCGCAACCCCUGUCGUUAGUUGCUAACGCGUUAUGGCGAGUACUCUAGCGAGACUGCCGGUGUCAAACCGGAGGAAGGUGGGGAUGACGUCAAGUCCUCAUGGCCCUUACGCCCAGGGAUGCAAACGUGCUACAAUGGCGUGGACAAAGCGACGCGAUACCGCGAGGUGGAGCAAAUCGCAAAAACCGCGCCCCAGUUCGGAUUGCAGGCUGCAACUCGCCUGCAUGAAGCCGGAAUCGCUAGUAAUCGUGGAUCAGCUACGCCACGGUGAAUACGUUCCUGAGCCUUGUACACACCGCCCGUCAAGUCAUGGAAGCCGGGAGCGCCCGAAGUCGCCUCAUCUCAGGGGCGCCUACGGUGAGCUCGGUGACUGGGACUAAGUCGUAACAAGGUAGCCGUAGGAGAACCUGCGGCUGGAUCACCU
rnacentral:rRNA from 1 species